CCUUUCCUGCCUGAUACGCAUAUGGUGCAAAAAUAACCCUACAACCUUUAAAUCGGGAGCUUUUCUCCGACGGCGGUGUGCAGACCUCCCUGCUUUUUGCAGGAAGAAGGGAGCCUAAAGCUUUCGGGCGGCACCCACCUGCUGACUUCGUAGGCAGGUUAUAUUGUGCACCUUACGGUCAGGCGGGUCUUUU
rnacentral:other from 1 species